rnacentral:rRNA from 1 species
UACGAAGGGUGCAAGCGUUAAUCGGAAUUACUGGGCGUAAAGCGUGCGUAGGUGGUUUGUUAAGUCUGCUGUGAAAGCCCUGGGCUCAACCUGGGAAUGGCGGUGGAUACUGGCGAGCUAGAGUACGGUAGAGGAUGGUGGAAUUCCCGGUGUAGCGGUGAAAUGCGUAGAGAUCGGGAGGAACAUCAGUGGCGAAGGCGGCCAUCUGGACCAGUACUGACGCUGAGGCACGAAAGCGUGGGGAGCAAACAGG